UGUAGGAGGGUCAAGAGCCAGUGGAAUGCUGCUCCAUUACAAGCCAAUGGGCUCGGAGGAUGUCCAGCAGCUCCGCAUGGAGGCGGCAGACGACAAGAAGGUGGCCUCAUUGUGGUUGGCUGCGAUGCACAAGGCAGCCAAACUGCUGUAUGAAGCCCGAGACCAGUGAGGGCCAGGACUGAAGCUCCAGGCAGCGCACACCCAAGUGUUUUGUACCCCUCUCAGCCGGGUUUGGUACCGUUUGGAUUUUAUUAACACCAAUUCUCUUUCUGCUUGUCUGAUUCCUCAUUGGUUCUUGAUACCAGUUCUAUUCAUGGUAACUUUUGCAAGAAAUGUUUGUAUGAAAAAGGACUUUUAUUACCUCUAUAACCAGUACUUUGUACAUAAUGUUUACCACAAGUAUGCUGCUUGGACCUUUUCUUUUUUAAAGAAAUCAUUUGACAUGCCUGUGAGACUUCUUUUAAUCCGCUUUGAUUUAAUUCAUAAAUCAGGGCAUGCAGCAUUAAUGUUUCUACACAAGAAUUAGCAGGAAAAAGGUGUUUUUGUCAUCAAUUUAAAAUUCUUUACAGGAUUGAUUAGAUUCUCAUGUUUUUUGUUUUUUUUUCUUGCAUCAAAAUGUGACAUUGUACCUUUUUUUUUUUUUUUUUUUUAGAAACCAUCUUCCACGGUUAAAUCAUGACAACACAAUAACUUUACAUGAUGCUAUAACAGGAGGGAUUAGAUUCUUUAUGGACUUGCUUAGGUUACUUUAACAGAGCCAAGCAGGGCCUGGGGUAUAGAACCCUCAGCAGUACCGGGAUCUUCCACAUAGAGCAUCAUCACAAGUAGUUUAAAGGACAAAUCCACCCUGAAACCCUUUAUUGCAGAUAGAAAAGCAACUAUGUCUGAUGUCCCUGGCACUUCAGGAUUUAACUGCACAGAGGACAUGCACUGGAUCUAACUGUGCAGCAGUGUGACGUAAACACAGUGUGAGCAUUUGGCUCUCAUUGACAGUGUGAAGUGCUGCUCGUAUUGAUGAACCAGCAGAAAAAUGUCAGCCGAAUCUGCAGCUCUUCUCAGUUUUAGUCAUUUUGGUGUCCAGCUACAACGUUACUGCUCUGGUUCACUCUCAGCACUGUUUUUUUUUUUUUGGCUGAAUACCAGCUGGUUGACGUAGUGGAGCAAUAAGCAACUAAAAAGCCAGAGAUUUCUCUCUGCAGUGGUGGAGACCAAAACCUGAGCUAAAAGAAGUGAAUUGAUUUAGAUCUAUCAGGUGAACAUCAGCAUAACUCCACAUAAAUGAUAAUAUUGCUUUGAAAAUGGGAUGUAAAUGCUACACAAAUGAAAAAGGCUUUAAGAAUAAUUGCUUAAAAUAAAGAACCGUGGCUCUGCUAAAUCCUUAGCGGCAGGUCCUGAAAGAGCAAAAUCAUCAGGGCAGAGGCCAAGAAAGUAGCUUAUUUAGUCUGCGGGAGCACGAACUCUGCAGGAUCCAGCGCCGGAGCGGGUUUUGAGCAAGCUGUGAGACAGAUUUGUGUCCAGUCUAAAUAAAAGUCAGAUUGCAUGGUGGAUUUCUCCUUUAACACACCAACUGUCACGACAGUUAAGUUUAAAUAUUGAAAAAUGAGGUGAAAUCUUUUCUCUUUCAGUUGUUAGCAUCUUUGCUACAAAUAUUCAUACAGGCGUACGUGUUUAGGCCUUUGUGUCUAAGAAAACUUCAACUUUUCACUGAUUCUAGUGAAGUAUAAACACACAUAAAUAAAUGCUUUAAAUGUAGUUUCAUGUAUUGAAGUUUUGUAUAAAAUAUAUUGUUGAAUAUUCCUACUUUAACAUGAGCUGUAUACGUAUUUGCGCAAUUUUUAAAGCUGAGGUAUGAUUAUAGUUUUUGUAAUACUUGUAUAUUCCUUUUUGUCAUUACUCUAAAACCCAAACAGCCUGUUUUUUUGUUUUUUUUUAUCUUUAUUUUUUUGUCAUUAUUGUGCAGAUCCACAAACAGGAUGUGAAAUCACAGCCUUCCAUCAGCCAUGAUGAGGUGAUGGGUUUAUUAGUUUGGCAGGUUUUAGCUGUAUAUUCCAAUCAAGUGUUGAGCACACAAAAACUGUAAUCUCCACUUGUUUUGCAGCCAAAUGUAUCCACUCACACACUGCAUUUUAAAAAUAAGGUUUCUGAAAGGUGGCAUCAGUUUGUGCCUCUGGGGUAUUGUACGGUGACAUCUGUAAUUUCUAAAAAAAAAAAAAAAAAAAAAAAGGAUUUCUAACUAAAUAAGUACGUAGCAUUAGCAAUUGAAUGUAUUUGAAACUACAAAUUGAGCAGAGAUCUAAGUCUGAAUGGGAUGAUCCUGAGAUGAUACAGUCAUUCAUAUAAUAGCAGGUUGUCAUACUGUAGGGGGUGAAUAUACCAGAUGGCAAAUAAAUAAAAUGCAGCUGCAGGGAAAGCUGUGAAAAUUAGAGUAAACUGAACUUAAGGUUUUUUUUAAAGUUCUUAUUAUUCAUACAGUGUGCUUGACUCUAAACCUGAGUUAAUGCGUCCGUUAACCUGAGUUAAUGCGUCCGUUAAAGGCACAGUAGCUCCUCAGUUGUUGAUGUUUUGGCUACUUUUAGCAGAGUUUGGUGUUUUUGCAGUUUUGCAGACGUCUGCAUGUCUUCCUUUGUCCCAAGCUUGAGGAAAGAGCUCAGAAUAGGGCAGCCUUUAGUGACACGGUUCAAACCGUGUUCUCCACCCCACCAACACUUAGUGACAAAGUUUAUUUUUAUACUCCCCUUAGACUGUAAGUCCUAGUUAUCUCAUGUUUCUCGAAGAGAGAAGAUGAUGGUAAAGUGUUUGUGUAAAAGACAUUUGUUUGUUCCAGUUUGAGGUAUUGCUGUGCAGUCACGGGGUGUAACAUUUUCCCAUUCAGCAGCUGGUGGAGGGGGGGCAGAUGUCACAAACUGCACAGUUGCCAACAAAAAUCAUAGUCUUUAGUAUUUUGCCCAAUAUUUAUAUUUUUAAUCCCCCCCCCCAGCACUGCAUGUUGAGCAGUAAUAGGAUGCAUCUAAAUGAUACACACACUGCUGAAAUUCAUUAUUGAAUUAUUAGAUUGAAUCACUUAAACACACAUGGGCAUGAGCACAAAAAGAAACAAACUGUUGAGUUUUGCAUAGUUGGCUCACAGUGCGGCCGGCUCCUUCCUUUAAAAUGUAAUCAUAAGUUUUUAUUUUAAGUUUGCACUACAUGUGAAGUCACCAAGUCAUUGCUCAGUGUUUGUAUCUGCACUUUAUGGCCACUUUGCAGUCAUUUUUCCCCAUUAAAUCUUUUAUUUUGCUCAAAAUGCUAAAUUGGAUUUUUCUGUUAAUAAAAUCACGUUUUUACA